rnacentral:tRNA from 1 species
GGGUGUAGCGUAGCCUGGUAGCGCGCCUGCUUUGGGCGCAGGAUGUCGGGAGUUCGAAUCUCUUUUUGACCCC